GUGAGGAAUAUUGCGCAAUGGAGGCAACUCUGACGCAGCCAUGCCGCGUGCAGGAAGAAGGCGCUACGCGUUGUAAACUGCUUUUAACCGGGAAGAAACCCGAGGACGUGUCCUGGGUUGACGGUACCGGAGGAAUAAGCACCGGCUAACUUCGUGCCAGCAGCCGCGGUAAUACGAAGGGUGCAAGCGUUAUCCGGAUUCAUUGGGUUUAAAGGGUGCGUAGGCGGAGCGUUAAGUCAGUGGUGAAAUCCUGCAGCUUAACUGUAGACUUGCCAUUGAUACUGGCGCUCUUGAGUGCGCUUGAAGUGGGCGGAAUGUGCCGUGUAGCGGUGAAAUGCUUAGAUAUGGCACAGAACACCAAUUGCGAAGGCAGCUCACUAAGGCGAUACUGACGCUGAGGCACGAAAGCGUGGGGAUCGAACAGGAUUAGAAACCCGGGUAGUCC
rnacentral:rRNA from 1 species